CCUACGGGAGGCAGCAGUAGGGAAUAUUGCUCAAUGGGGGAAACCCUGAAGCAGCAACGCCGCGUGGAGGAUGAAGGUUUUCGGAUUGUAAACUCCUUUUGUUAGAGAAGAUAAUGACGGUAUCUAACGAAUAAGCACCGGCUAACUCCGUGCCAGCAGCCGCGGUAAUACGGAGGGUGCAAGCGUUACUCGGAAUCACUGGGCGUAAAGAGCGCGGAGGCGGGAUAGCAAGUCAGAUGUGAAAUCCUAGGGCUUAACCAUAGAACUGCAUUUGAAACUGUUAUUCUAGAGUAUGGGAGAGGUAGGUGGAAUUCUGGGUGUAGGGGUAAAAUCCGUAGAGAUCAAGAGGAAUACUCAUUGCGAAGGCGACCUGCUAGAACAUAACUGACGCUGAUGCGCGAAAGCGUGGGGAGCAAACAGGAUUAGAUACCCGAGUAGUC
rnacentral:rRNA from 1 species